CCUACGGGCGGCAGCAGUGAGGAAUAUUGGUCAAUGGACGAGAGUCUGAACCAGCCAAGUAGCGUGAAGGAUGACUGCCCUAUGGGUUGUAAACUUCUUUUAUAUGGGAAUAAAAAAGGCCACGUGUGGCCUAUUGUAUGUACCUUAUGAAUAAGCAUCGGCUAAUUCCGUGCCAGCAGCCGCGGUAAUACGGAAGAUGCGAGCGUUAUCCGGAUUUAUUGGGUUUAAAGGGAGCGUAGGCGGGCGAUUAAGUCAGCGGUAAAAUAGUGUGGCUCAACCAUGCUCUGCCGUUGAUACUGGUUGCCUUGAGUGCACACAAGGAAGAUGGAAUUCGUGGUGUAGCGGUGAAAUGCUUAGAUAUCACGAAGAACUCCGAUUGCGAAGGCAGUCUUCUGGGGUGUUACUGACGCUGAGGCUCGAAAGU
rnacentral:rRNA from 1 species